UACGUAGGGUGCAAGCGUUGUCCGGAAUUAUUGGGCGUAAAGAGCGUGUAGGCGGCUCGAUCAGUCCGCUGUAAAAGUCCAGGGCUCAACCCUGGGAUGCCGGUGGAUACUGUCGGGCUAGAGUCCGGAAGAGGCGAGUGGAAUUCCUGGUGUAGCGGUGAAAUGCGCAGAUAUCAGGAGGAACACCAAUGGCGAAGGCGGUUCUCUGGGCCUUACCUGACGCUGAGGAGCGAAAGCGUGGGGAGCGAACAGG
rnacentral:rRNA from 1 species